ensembl:lncRNA
GCCCAGGACCCAAACCAGCUCCCCAAUGUGCCUGACAGCCCCCCCACAAAUGCCCUGGCCCAGGUCAUGGGGAACCUGAGGUUCCGGGUGAAGGGCCUCAAAAAGAAGAGGGUUCAACCAGCAACCAACUCCCGGCUUGAUGAGGAGAAGCCUUUGGGCCGCCCUUCAGGCCGGAGCCCCUUCCCUGGCCAGACCGCCCUGGACGAAGGCCAGACCGCCCCGGACCAAGGCCAGACCGCCCCGGACCAAGCCAGACCGCCCCGGACCAAGGCCAGACCGCCCCGGACCAAGGCCAGACCGCCAAUGAACCUGCAGACAGGGCCCCGAGAAAGGACCUGUCCCAGGUCUUGGGGAACAUGAGGGUCCGGGUGAGGCCACUAAGAAAGCAGAGGGUCGUAACAGCUACCAUCGCCCUGACGGAUCAGGAGGAGGAGAAGCCUUUGGGCCGCCUUUCACGCCAGAACCCCUUUAGGCGCAUCAAGAUGGCCUGGGCCGACCCAAAGGCCGUCAUCACCACCGACGCCCCCCCCGCAAAUCAGGAUCUGGUCGUACGAGUCGUGCUUUCCUCCGUCUCGUGCUGCAUGCAGUUUGACCUGAGUUGUAUUUCAUGUAGGCUACGCCGUCUAGGCUUCGCCUUAUGGGCUUGUCCCUGAAAAUUCAAACUAUGCACCUAUCAGCGUGGGCACCGCCCACAUUUCCCAACGGUAUCGUGUCUAUAUAACGCGGUGUAGACCGUCGCUCAUCCUCCCUUUUCUUUCAGCACUUGUGCUUAUCAGCGAGAAAUUGAGAACUACUAUUAAGAAGAUGAAAACUUCAACACGGAUCUCCCAAGCCGGUGGCAGCGGCUCGGGCGAGGCCGCGGACAAACUGCCCUUUUCAGGGCCACCUUAGAGCGCUCCUGGAGCUAGGUCCUUUUCAGGACUCCUAUGCGCCUCCUGUCCCGCCUCCCUGGCACCGGGUGACGGGCACUUGGCGUGCUUUCGGUGCCUCGGCGCCGACCACGCCGCGGCUGCUAUGGCGGCCCCCGUCUCCUGUGUCGCCUGCCGGGAGCUGCCAGAAGAGGGGAUCCUCUCCAGGCAUCUCUUCUUUUCCCCUGAGGUGGAACUGGC